CACACACGUCCAGAAAUCCACCAGGGAUGGCUCUCUCUGUCCCCAGGGCCUGCUAUAAAGAGUGUAUUUGCUGAUGAAUUAAAACAAUGGAGUGGGCAAGGUCAUCUAGAGAAAGGCAUGAAGACACACAGAGGAGAAGCCUAUGAAGGCCUUGUGAAGAUGGAGGCAGAGAAUGGAGUGAUGCAUCUACAAGCCAAGGAAUGCCAAGCAUCUCCGACAACCACCAGAAGCUGAAAGAGGCAUGGAAGGAUCCUCCCAUUGAGCCUGUAGACAGGGCAUAGCCCUGCCCACAACUUGAUUUCAGGUUUCUUGCCUUCAGAACUGUAGAAGAAUAAAUUCCUGUUGUUUUAAGCCACCCAGUUUGUGGUAAUUUGCUAUGGCACCCUAGAAAAUGAACAUGAUCUCCUUUUUGUUGGAUUCCAUGGACAAUGUCUAUUCCUCAUAUUAUUUGACAUCGCAGCAGCAUACAGCACUAGUAACCCUGCCUCUUCCCACAAAUGCAUUCUCUCCUGGAAACCGUGCCCACACAUUCUCCUGGUUUGCAACUUCUGGCCACUUCCUUCUCUGUCCCCUCC
rnacentral:lncRNA from 1 species